UGGUGACUGUGCAAUACCGCUCCACAGAGCUCAGUUGACAGCUACUGUCAUACCCUCCAACUGCAUACACGUAACAAUCCAUGCCAAUUACUCCUGUGAUGAUCAAAAAGCACCACUACGAGUCGUAUUCAUGGGAGCCACGAAGUGCCACUCAUCCUUCUCUGGGUCAUAACAUUCCAUGCUUCGCAACCUGUUGCUUCCAUCAAAACCACCAAGAGCAAACAACAACCUAUUCACCACGGCAACUCCCACUCCUAUUCGCUUGGUGGCCAUUGAAGCCAGCAUUGUCCAUCGGUCUAAGUCAGGGUCAUACCUAAAAAUAGAUGUAAAUAAUGAUUGUACAUUACAAGUACUUUUCAUGACAAUCUUUUAUGGAUCUUUUAUUGGUAUCUGCAUAUAGUAUGGAGCCAGAAGCCAGUGCAUGUUAAGAUUGUACUGUACAUCAAGUAUUUCUUUGUUGACAAAUUUAAUAAGUAGAUCAUUAAACAUUCCUGCCACUUUAAUAGG